GAGAAGGCGCGCCACAGACAUAGCCUACAGUUCCUGUCAAGGCAUGAGAAGAUGUGCCACAGACAUGGCCUACGGUUCCUGUCAAGGCAUGAGAAGGUGCGCCACAGACAUGGCCUACAGUUCCUGUCAAGGCAUGAGAAGGUGCGCCACAGACAUGGCCUA